AAAGAUUUUUGGCAUGUUUCAACACAAAAUUAACGAAAAGAAAUGAAACAAACUAUGGUUUCAUUGUUCAUGGUGACUGGACCAACAAAGGAAGUGACAGCCCUUAGAAGAUAUUCCGGGAAUUUAACAUUUACAUGCUUUCAAUUGAACAAAUACAAUUUUUGUAGAAAUCCUUACUAAUAUUGUACAUGCAAAAGUAACUCUGUCUGUCUGUCAGUUUGUCCUUUCAUGCAAAAUCUACUGAACCGAUUUUAAUGAAAUUAGAUAUAAAGAUAGUCUAGAGCCUGGGAAAGAACAUAGACUUUUUAAUGCGAAAAAAGUUUGUAAGGGGUUAAAAAGAGGUUUGGAAAUUUGUAUGGAAGAAUUGUAAUUUUUACAAAUAAAAGCUUGAAACUUAUUUUUUUAGGCUGUUAAUUUAAUAUAAAUAAAUAUGCCAUUCAAUGUUUGUAAAAAUGUUACACUCAAGGGUGCAAAAUAACAAUUGGGAAUAGGGGAUGAAAGUUAGUAUUAAAAUAUGUGAGUUUUAUGUGAAUGUUUUUUGUUUAAAUGUUUUGUUGUUAUGUACUAUAACUGUUAGUAAAAUAAGUAAACUAAAAUGACAAGAUCGAAUUUCAUUGGGACAAAGUAGCAGGGACAGCUAGUUGAUAAAUAAAUUCCAAAGCACCUAAAAUUUUUAAUAUUGAUGCAUAUCUGUUUCUAAUUAAAUAUGAAUUGUUUUUUUAGGACAUCAAAAUCAAUUGUAGCCUAUAAUUUUGUAAUUUGAUUUAUUAGGUAUUAUUCCAAUCUAGUCCUGUAAUGCUAGGAGAGACUCGGCCAAAGCAAAUUUUGUUAAAACCUUAUUCCAUAAUAAUAAAUACUAUUGAAGAGGA